rnacentral:tRNA from 1 species
UGGCCCUGUGGUUAAAGCAUUUGGUUGCUAACCAAAAGAUUGAUGGUUUGAACCCAUC